rnacentral:rRNA from 1 species
GGGGAAUCUUCCGCAAUGGGCGCAAGCCUGACGGAGCAACGCCGCGUGAGUGAAGAAGGGUUUCGACUCGUAAAGCUCUGUUGUCGGGGACGAAUGUGGAGAUGGUGAAUAACCAUUUCUAAUGACGGUACCUGACGAGGAAGCCACGGCUAACUACGUGCCAGCAGCCGCGGUAAUACGGAGGGUGCAAGCGUUAAUCGGAAUAACUGGGCGUAAAGGGCAUGCAGGCGGUUUAUCAAGUAGGAUGUGAAAGCCCCGGGCUCAACCUGGGAAUUGCAUUCUAAACUGAUAGACUAGAGUAUUGCAGGGGGAGACGGAAUUCCAGGUGUAGCGGUGGAAUGCGUAGAUAUCUGGAAGAACACCAAAGGCGAAGGCAGUCUCCUGGGCAAAUACUGACGCUCAUAUGCGAAAGCGUGGGUAGCAAACAGGAUUAGAUACCCUGGUAGU